CCUACGGGAGGCAGCAGUGAGGAAUAUUGGUCAAUGGGCGAGAGCCUGAACCAGCCAAGUCGCGUGAGGGAGUACUGCCCUAUGGGUUGUAAACCUCUUUUGUCGGGGAGCAAAAGCCGGACGUGUCCGGCUGUGAGAGUACCCGAAGAAAAAGCAUCGGCUAACUCCGUGCCAGCAGCCGCGGUAAUACGGAGGAUGCGAGCGUUAUCCGGAUUUAUUGGGUUUUAAGGGUGCGCAGGCGGAUUUUUAAGUCAGCGGUAAAAUCGUGGGGCUCAACCCCAUCCAGCCGUUGAAACUGGGGAUCUAGAGUGUGCGAGAGGUAUGCGGAAUGCGUGGUGUAGCGGUGAAAUGCAUAGAUAUCACGCAGAACCCCGAUUGCGAAGGCAGCAUACCGGUGCACAACUGACGCUCAGGCACGAAAGCGUGGGUAUCGAACAGGAUUAGAUACCCCAGUAGUC
rnacentral:rRNA from 1 species